ensembl:lncRNA
AGGGUGGGUAGUGGACACUGAGGUUGAGAGGGGUGUUGGUAGGGUGGGUAGUGGACACAGGUUGAGAGGGGUGUUGGUGUGGAGUGGACACUGAGGUUGAGAGGGGUGUUGGUAGGGUGGGUAGUGGACACUGAGGUUGAGAGGGGUGUUGGUGUGGAGUGGACACUGAGGUUGAGAGGGGUGUUGGUAGGGUGGGUAGUGGACACUGAGGUUGAGAGGGGUGUUGGUGGGUGGUGGACACUGAGGUUGAGAGGGGUGUUGGUAGGGUGGGUAGUGGACACUGAGGUUGAGAGGGGUGUUAGUGGGGUGGGUAGUGGACACUGAGGUUG